rnacentral:lncRNA from 1 species
GUGUAGAGUCGACAUUGCCUUUCUACCAGAAAUACCAAACAAAUUGUAGGAGGUACUUAUUAAGUUUUCUGAGUAUCAAAGUGAGGUGACUUUAGCAUUGUUUUUCUGCAGAUGAGUCUAUUUUUGGCCUGUUUUGGCAUGGACCAUGGUGAUGGAAUUCACCAGUUGUUAAAUAUGUUCAGUGUUUUGUGUCACAAGCUCCCAUGUGUACAAAAUAACUUUGCUCCCUCCUGUCGCGUUCUCCCGGGUCCAUUUGGAUCUCUCUUGUUUGCGUCUGCAGAGCUAUAAACAGCCCUCGGCUUU